CUGACAACCGGUGCAUGAAACCCCUGUCACAUACUCCCUAGAUGGCUCAAUCAAUCAUGACACUUUCAUGUAAAAUCUUUAGUAUUGUGAGCCCUUAAAAGGGACAGAAUUUGUGCACUCAAGAAGCUCGGAUUUUGAGAUGUUAGUCUGCUGAUGCUUCCAGCUGACUAAAGCCACUUCCUCCACUCCCUCAGUGUCUGUGAGGUUUUGUCUGCAGCUCAUCCUGCUACAUUUCUUGUUUCCCUGAUCAGGAAGCGAGGUAACUGACGGACGGCUGAGGCAUCCCCUUAGGCAGCUUAGGCCUGCUCUAUGGAGCAUCCCUGUGGGAGACUCUGGCCUGCCUUAGUGACGUGAUCCAAAGAGUGAUCCCAGGUAGGCAAUUGCCCUGGUGGAAUGCCUUGCCAGAGCAGCAUGUGCCAGGCCCACAUGGAGGAUCAACGCAGUGGCUGAACACAAGGGAGGAACUGGCACUUGGAGUGCAGACAUCUGAAACUUGGUUUUUGCAUGAAGAGGAGCAGGAGUCUCGAAGGCACAGCCAGAUUUAGCUCAACAAAGCGAUGCAAGAGGUGUACCUGUGUCAAAAUCCUACCCUCUUUCCUUUACAGCUCCUUUCUUGUUACGAAAUUAGGGAAUGACUUUAAAUUUACCUUCACUCCUUGCUCCAGCUAACACUUCUACACUCUUUCCUCCAGGGGCAUAUUAUGUGAAAACGAAUGGACAAAAAUAAACAGCAAAAACAACUUACCAAGAGUGGAUACUUUUAGAAGAUAAUAUAAAUAAAUUCUCUACCGUGAAUUCUACCUUCAUAAAACAACCCUGUACCCUGAGGACCAUUCACGUUCAUCUUUAUGCACACUCCUUUCACAAAAAAAAUGGUUGCAUAAUUCAUACUGACAAUAUAUUUUAUCUGUUUUAUCAUCCCCCAUUUCCCACUUCCUUACUUUGGCACUAGACAAUUUUUUUUGAUAUCCAUCUCUACUGAAUGAUUUAUUCCACAGCAUUUAGUGUUUUGUUUGUUUGUUUUUGAGAGAGAGUCUCACUCUGUUGCCCAGGCUGGAAAAGGAAAGAUAUUUCCUUUUCCACUAUAGGCCUCAAAUCAUUCCAACAGUGGCAUGAUCUCAGCUCACUGCAACCUCUGCUUCACAGGAUCAAUUGAUUCUCCUGCCUCAGCCUCGUAAGUAUCUGGGACUACAGGUGCCCACCACCAUGCCUAGCUCAUUUUUGUAUUUUGGUAGAGAUGGGGUUUCACCACAUACCCCAGGGUGGUUCAAACUCCUGGCCUCAAGUGAUCUUCCCACCUCGGCCUCCCAAAGUCCUGGUAUUACAGGCAUGAGCCACCACACCUGGCCACAUUUAAUAUUCUGACAUUUAUUUAUUUAUUUAUUUAUUUUUGAGAUGGAGUCUUGCUCUGUCACCGAGGCUGGAGUGCAGUGAAAUGAUCUCGGCUCACUGCAAGCUCUACCUCCCAGGUUCAAGCGAUUCUUCUGCCUCAGCCUCCCAAGUAGUUGUGAUUACAGGGGUCUGCCACCACACCUAUGUAAUUUUUGUAUUUUUCGUAGACAUGUUGUUUCACCAUGUUGCCCAGGCUGGCCUUAAGCUUCUGACCUCAGGUGAUCCACACACCUCGGCCCCCCAAACUGCUGGUAUUAAGGCAUGAGCCACCACACCAUUACAUUUAAUGUUCUGACCUGUCUUUAUAUAAUUGUGCUGUUUCUUGGAAUUUUAAUAUGAUAAAUUUGUGUUUUAAAUAUUUUAGUUGACAAAAAAAUGCAUUUACUUGUGGAGUAUAUCACAGUUCUUUGGUAUGUGUGUACAUUGUGAAAUUAUUAAAUCAAGCUAGUUAGCAUAGCCAUCUCCUCACAGAGUUAUCAUGGUUUUUGAUGGGGACACUUAAAAUCUACUCCUAGCAAUUUUUAAGAAUACAAUACAUAAUUAUUAACUAUAGUCAUCAUACUGUACAAUAGAUCUUCAGAAAUUAUUCACCCUAACUUCCUGUCAUUUUUCCAGUAGCCUUACUUUGCAUUAUUUAACCAUUAUGCCUGAUAACUUUGUUUCCUUUAACCAGUAUCUUUAAUAACUUUGUGUCCUUUAACCAAUAUCCUUGAUAACUCUGUUUUUUUAACCAAUACUCUUGAUAACUCUGUAUCCUUUUACUAAUAACCUUGAUAACUUUGUUUCAUUUAACUGAUAUCCUUGAUAACUUUGUUUCCUUUAUCCAAUAUCUACACAUCAUCUCCCCUGCUCCAGCUCCGUAACCACCAUUCUAUUUUCUGCUUCUGUGAGUUUUAUUUCUGUUUUUAGAUUCCAUGAACAGGUGAGAUCACAGGGCUUGGCUUAUUUCACUAGGAAUAAUGUCCCAAUAUUUUGCAGUUUAUUCAUGUUUCUUGUUCUCUUAAAGACCCUCUGCUAAACUGCAAAGGGCAGCCUCAAUGAUUGGAGAUGUGGCCAAUGAAGAAAUUUUCCAAGGUGUUCUACAUUUUAGAACUGUGGCUGUUUGGCAGUUUGUGUGGAAAUCAUCUCUGUAUUUCUUUCUCAUGCAUUAAUUAGGUGAAAGGCCAGGGGAAGGUAAAGCAUGGUAAAACAUGGCUUUGCUGCUUGGAGCUUAAAUCACUCUCAUUCUCCAUUUUUUCAGACAAAACUAUCCUUCUCUCCUAUCUCUCUUAUGUUCUUUUUCAGUUUUUAUACUUUUACAGGAAGAUUCUGUAACUAUUUUAAAAGAAUUCUUCUUUCAGUGCCAUUUUAUUGCAAUUUGUUUAAGAUAGGUACUUAUGGUGAUUUAAAGUUUGGAACUACUCUGACCCUAGCUAAGUCUGGUCAGGGAAACUCUUUCAUAAGCACAUUCAAUAUUUUUGGAAUUAUAUAUUUGAAGCAAUUCAUAAAUGACAGGUUGCUUUAAGGCACCUCUUCAGAUAAUAGGCUUCUGGAAAUUGCAUGAAAAAAUAUAGUAUAUUCAUCUCUUGGGUCAAGUUCUUGCCAUGUGUUCAAAAAUCUUUUUGUGUUGCUUCUUACUCUAGCCAGUGAGAUUUUAAAGGAGGUGUAAACUGUGGAAAUUUGAGUAUCCCAAAUUGCAUUAUUCUCUGUCUCUCUCUGUCUCUCUCUGUUUUUGUAGGAUGUAAAACCAUAUAAUCAUUGAUUAUAAAGUGUUUAUACCAUUUAAAUUUCCAAAAUAGUAAAGCUUAAUAGAAGUAAUGGAAAAUAGAUGCAGUUGGCAUUUUCACAUUGUAGCAGUGCAUGUAGAGGACAAAUAAAACAAAAAUUGAAUUAAAGUCUCAUUAUUCUCAAGGAU
rnacentral:lncRNA from 10 species